AUGUUAUUUUAUCUAUGUACUGGUAGAAAGAUGAAUGACCCUUUUAUCCUAUUCAACUACUUGAGGAAUCUGGUUAGAGAAACCAGAUCAGGUGGUUCUAAACAUAGGAAAUGGAUUCCUAUGGGUAGAAUUAUCUUUGACAUUCUGAUAGAAAGUAAGCUGGUGGAGUCUUUUCAGAAACUCAACAUGACUAAGGAUAUUGCUACAUAA